rnacentral:rRNA from 1 species
AUUGAACGCUGGCGGCAUGCUUUACACAUGCAAGUCGAACGGUAACAGGCCUUCGGGUGCUGACGAGUGGCGAACGGGUGAGUAAUGCAUCGGAACGUACCCAGAGGUGGGGGAUAACGCAGCGAAAGCUGUGCUAAUACCGCAUGUGAUCUGAGGAUGAAAGCGGGGGACCGAGCAGCAAUGUUUGGCCUCGCGCCUUUGGAGCGGCCGAUGUCGGAUUAGCUAGUUGGUGGGGUAAAGGCCUACCAAGGCGACGAUCCGUAGCUGGUCUGAGAGGACGACCAGCCACACUGGGACUGAGACACGGCCCAGACUCCUACGGGAGGCAGCAGUGGGGAAUUUUGGACAAUGGGCGCAAGCCUGAUCCAGCAAUGCCGCGUGCGGGAAGAAGGCCUUCGGGUUAUAAACCGCUUUUGGCAGGAACGAAACGGUGUCCGCUAAUACCGGGCGCUAAUGACGGUACCUGCAGAAUAAGCACCGGCUAACUACGUG